AUCACUCAGUACCUGGACCCGCGAAAAGGAGACCGCGACCCGACACCUUGACCCGAACGGCGCUUCUCCUUCCGGUCGCCUCCGGCCGGCGCACAGAUAUUGUUAGCUUCGUCUUGCCGUCGCCAACCUUUCUGUGGCACCGGAUCAUACAUGCAUUGAUCGUGAAAGGAGAAUCGACGACCGGACGUUCAGAGUUUUCUUCGGCGAGUUUCUGCAAAUUCUGGCGACUCCGGCCACCGGUUGAGCUGCAUGUGACGGUCUAUUCUUCGUACUCUACACGCUGGUUUACGUGAUCUUCGAGUUCGAUCAAGUUUGUGGAGAAGCUGUGUUUGGGUGCACUCGGCUUCCACCGAGGUUCUGUCCGGUGACUUCUCUGAAUUCGUCAAGUUUGAAAUUGACGAGAGAGGAGAAAGAGUUAUUCAUUGUCGAGUUUCCAUCAAGAAGCUACUGUGAAGAAGUUUGAGUUCCAGUCUGCAAAUUAGAUAGAACGAAGGUAAAUUCGAAGUUUCCUUGAAGUUUGUAUGCCUUGGUUGAUUGUUGGUUUAACUUUGAAUGUGAUCAUGAUCUUGAAAUGGUUGUGUUGAUGACAGUGGAAAUGGUUGUAUACCGGUUAAGGAAAGAAAAUAUGUUUUGGGUGUCCUUAGUAGUUGGGCACACCUUGUUUGAGAUUCAG